UACGAGGGGGGCGAGCGUUGUUCGGAAUUAUUGGGCGUAAAGGGCGCGUAGGCGGUUCCGCAAGUCCUGUGUGAAAUCUUCGGGCUCAACUCGGAGUCUGCACGGGAAACUGCGGGGCUUGAGUGUGGGAGAGGUGAGUGGAAUUCCUGGUGUAGCGGUGAAAUGCGUAGAUAUCAGGAGGAACACCUGUGGCGAAAGCGGCUCACUGGACCAUAACUGACGCUGAUGCGCGAAAGCUAGGGGAGCAAACAGG
rnacentral:rRNA from 1 species